rnacentral:rRNA from 1 species
CAAUAGCGUAUAUUAAAGUUGUUGCAGUUAAAAAGCUCGUAGUUGGAUCUGUGGUGUGCGGUGGGCUCCGGGCACUUGUUGUCUGAGUAGCUCGCCGCUGCCAUCCUUGGGUGGAACCUGUGUGGCAUUAGGUUGUCGUGCAGGGGAUGCCCAUCGUUUACUGUGAAAAAAUUAGAGUGUUCAAAGCAGGCUUAUGCCGUUGAAUAUAUUAGCAUGGAAUAAUGAGAUAGGACUUUUUCGCUAUCUUGUUGGUUUGCGCGAAGAGGUAAUGAUUAAUAGGGACAGUUGGGGGUAUUCGUAUUCCAUUGUCAGAGGUGAAAUUCUUGGAUUUUUGGAAGACGAGCUACUGCGAAAGCAUUUACCAAGGAUGUUUUCAUUAA